GUGCCAGGACCUUCCAAGUGAAGGUCAAGGAAAGCAGCAACAUGGAAGCAGCCUUUACAGAAUAGAAUGCAAGAUGAAAAUGUAUGACAUGAGAAUAUCCUAAAAAAUUGGUCAUGAUUUUUUGUAUGUGAAAGUUUGGUGUGAAAGAUACACAAGCUGAAAAAAGUAUCAUACAGAUGGAUUUCAGCAAUAACAGGUUCAUAUCAGGUUACCAAAUUUUUUCAUACGUACUGGAACAAAAAAGUUACUUGCAUUACAAUCUACCAAUAUGAAUCUUAUCCAUUUAACGGAAUAUAAACCACUCUGGCAUCCUAGCAUAAAUUUAGAAUAUCAGAUAGUAUAGAAUCAUCCUUUGGACAAGGCAAUAUAGAAGUAUUUCGCACACAAAUUGCCCAUCCAGACAUCUGUUAAAUCAGUUCAAAAAAUUUACUGAAUGCAUACCAAAAACAAACAUAUAGCUACUUUGUCACCUAAUUGAAAGCUAAUAUAUAUAUAACCUAUUCUCAUUUAAUUAAGGAGACAGUUCCCCCAAAAAAGUUUUACUGUUUCAAUUCAUAUUUCAUAAUACAAAUUCAGUGGUCAAGAUGCUUAUUAUUUUCUCUAUUUUCUUAAUAAAAUAAAUCAUAUUAGGAAUUGGACGAGUAAGAAACUAAGAAUACUUAAAAAAAAAAACUUUAAAAUACUUUUCAGCAACAAAGGUAAGAGGAGACAAAAAUAUAUAUGUACUGUAUGAACAAAAUGCAACAGCAGAAGGUAGUUUCAAGAACUUUAAGCUAUGCAAUCGAUAGGAGAAAAUAUUUCAAUGGAAAAUCAAAUACUCCAUGUAUAAUUUUAUACUAAAAUAAGCAUACCAUUCCCAGAAAGCUUGUAAUUA
rnacentral:misc_RNA from 1 species